rnacentral:rRNA from 1 species
ACGGGGCGCAGCAGGCGCGAAACCUUUACAAUGCGGGCAACCGUGAUAAGGGAACCUCGAGUGCCUGUAAACGCAGGCUGUUCAGGUGUUUAAAACGCACCUGGAGAAAGGGCCGGGCAAGACCGGUGCCAGCCGCCGCGGUAAUACCGGCGGCUCGAGUGGUGGCCGCUUUUAUUGGGCUUAAAGCGUUCGUAGCUGGGUUGUUAAGUCUCUUGGGAAAUCUGG